rnacentral:misc_RNA from 1 species
AACUGAUACUACCUGCGGGAACCUGCGGAAGGAUCAUUAUAGAGUUUUUAACUCCCAAACCCAUGUGAACUUACCUUUGUUGCCUCGGCGGAGCCUACCCGGUACCUACCCUGUAGCGCCCCGCCGGUGGACUUCUAAACUAUUGUUAUUUUAAUGAUAUCUGAGAGUCUUAUUUUAAUAAGUCAAAACUUUCAGCAACGGAUCUCU